rnacentral:rRNA from 1 species
AGUGAACGCUGGCGGUAGGCCUAACACAUGCAAGUCGAACGGCAGCACAGUAAGAGCUUGCUCUUACGGGUGGCGAGUGGCGGACGAGUGAGGAAUACAUCGGAAUCUACUUUUUCGUGGGGGAUAACGUAGGGAAACUUACUCUAAUACCGCAUACGACCUACGGGUGAAAGCAGGGGAUCUUCGGACCUUGCGCGAUUGAAUGAGCCGAUGUCGGAUUAGCUAGUUGGCGGGGUAAAGGCCCACCAAGGCGACGAUCCGUAGCUGGUCUGAGAGGAUGAUCAGCCACACUGGAACUGAGACACGGUCCAGACUCCUACGGGAGGCAGCAGUGGGGAAUAUUGGACAAUGGGCGCAAGCCUGAUCCAGCCAUACCGCGUGGGUGAAGAAGGCCUUCGGGUUGUAAAGCCCUUUUGUUGGGAAAGAAAAGCAGCAGGUUAAUACCCCGCUGUUCUGACGGUACCCAAAGAAUAAGCACCGGCUAACUUCGU